AUUGAACGCUGGCGGCAGGCCUAACACAUGCAAGUCGAGCGGAUGAAGGGAGCUUGCUCCUGGAUUCAGCGGCGGACGGGUGAGUAAUGCCUAGGAAUCUGCCUGGUAGUGGGGGAUAACGUCCGGAAACGGGCGCUAAUACCGCAUACGUCCUGAGGGAGAAAGUGGGGGAUCUUCGGACCUCACGCUAUCAGAUGAGCCUAGGUCGGAUUAGCUAGUUGGUGGGGUAAAGGCCUACCAAGGCGACGAUCCGUAACUGGUCUGAGAGGAUGAUCAGUCACCCUGGAACUGAGACACGGUCCAGACUCCUACGGGAGGCAGCAGUGGGGAAUAUUGGACAAUAGGCGAAAGCCUGAUCCAGCCAUGCCGCGUGUGUGAAGAAGGUCUUCGGAUUGUAAAGCACUUUAAGUUGGGAGGAAGGGCAGUAAGUUAAUACCUUGCUGUUUUGACGUUACCAACAGAAUAAGCACCGGCUAACUACGUG
rnacentral:rRNA from 1 species